CCUAGCACUUGGAAAGCCCAGCAGCUCUUCAAGCCAUGCCUCAUUAUCUCACUUGCUUUGCUCUGAACUCCUAUAAUUUCUACCCUAAUCUGCUCACAGGCCCGACAUUAUCGACGCCAUGAAGAAGAAACGGAGGCCGGAGAGGCUGAUCUCAGUUCUCAUGGCCUCCGCCGCACCCCGCUGCCCUCAAAGCCUACCCCUCUUGCGUCCCCGCUUCGCUAUAUCCCAAAGUAACAAACCCUUCACGUCUUUCUUCUCGAAUUGGUCCUCGUAACCGCCGCCUUUGUGGGCAUGGCAUUAAACAUCCAGUUCGGCUGCGAGGUCACAAGAGUCGGCCACGUUUUGGCCGUGGUGAACGCACUUCUUAGAAUCUUCAUUGCCGAUUUUGCUGAGUUUUGCUUUAUUUUCGAGGGGGCUGGGGAUUCUCUCAAGAAUGCCAUGGAUUAGACCGGUGGCGCAUCCAUUGUUAAGUGAGCCAUGGGCCCAUGGAGGCUUCCUCUUUGGGAUGCAGAGUUCUUUUCGUUGGAAAACAAAGUGGUCUUCUCCCUCCUGGAGGUUUCUGAGCUUUCAGGAAGUUGGUGUGUAUCAUGGGAUUGUGUUCUAACCAAGGAGACAAGUUUCUGUAGUGAUAGGAAAAAAAUAAAAGAAUACUGUGUUAGACCUGAACCGGUCCAAGAAAAAAAAAAAGAAAGAAAAGAAGACUGUGUUAGAGCUGAACCGGUCCAACCUAGACCUGCUUAGUCUACUCCCGCCGGGCCAAGAAAAAAAAAAGGCGGGUGGGCAACCUUGGCGAGGCCCAGGGAUUGAAUUAAACACGGGUUAAGAGGGAAAUUUUGAAUGAGGGGCUGUUUAGGGAUUAUGUAAUCUUCCUUUUGCUUUAUAUUGUCUAGCAUGUUAGGGUUUGGAGGUAUCUUGAAUUUGAAAUCAGAUUUGAGAUUUAGGGUUGGUUCUUUUGAGCUCUAGACUUGGCUAGAGAUUUUGGAGAGUUGUUUCUUCCUCUCAAAUUGAAGAAACGUGUAUCUUUUACUGUUUUCCUGCAUCUACUAGUUGAAUCCUUCAUUUUCUGCUGUUUUCCCGAAGAAACCUGCCGUUCUUUGCUAUUUUUCUGCUGUAAACAGCAGUUUUACUCACUGUUUUCACCAAUUGUCGUUAGGCUUGCUUGCGAACUCAAUUAUUUCUCUUAGGGUUACUAGCGAACUCAAGUAUUUCCUGACAGACUGUUGUAAGGUACUAGAUGUAGGAGCUAACCAUUUGGUGCAUUGAAAUCGCUUUAAGAUACGAGAGAAUCAAAAAUAGCUUGCAAUUGUUUCAAGCCUACACGUAGUUUUGAGCUUAGCUAAACACAAAUUAAUUUUAUUUACUUUCCUGGUUUUGCUCUGUAAUCGUUUCUUUCUUUAGAAUAUAAGAUAUGGUGAGAUUCCUGCUGCUUGUACUGAAAGGUGGUCGUUCGCACUGAAUAUUUUGCGUGCUGAUAAAGCUCUUGUGGUCAAUUUCCUUCCUAAGCUUGUGAAAGCUAUAGCAGGUCGUUGCCUGUUUGUUUAUUCUCUAUUCUCCUUUGAUUUGAAUUAUGCCCUGUCGCUUCCAGCUUCUAUUUUCGCAUACCAGCUCUUCUCCUCUUGAUGAAUAGUAGAUUUAGGCUUAGUUUAGGACGGCUUUUUUAUUGCUUUCUAAAACGGAGUUUUAAUACAAUUUUUUUUAUUUUUGUAUUAAAACUCCGUUUUAAAAAGCAAUAAAAAAGCCGUCCCAGUUUCGGAUGGCUUCCUUCCUGGCUUGGAAGGAGUGCUAUUGGUACUAGAAAGCCGCUUUAAGAAGCAGUAAGAAAGCUGCCCCAAACGAAGCCUUAGGCUUCGUUUGGGACGACUUACUUGUUGCUUCUUAAAACAGCUUUUUAGUAUAAAAAUUAAAAUUUUUCUACUAGAAAACUGCUUUAAGAAGCAACAAAAAAGUUGUCCCAAAUGAAAACUUAAUUGAAGAACUAACCAUUGAUAUUUUUCUGACUUGGAAGGAGCCAUAACAUCUGUAACUAAAUAUUCACAUUUUUCUUUAAUCAAAACAACACGUUACACUUA